rnacentral:rRNA from 1 species
UACAGAGGGUGCGAGCGUUGUUCGGAAUUACUAGGCGUAAAGCGCGCGCAGGCGGCUUCUUAAGUCCAUCGGUGAAAUGCCGGGGCUCAACCCCGAGCCGGCCGAGGAUACUGGGAGGCUGGAGACGAGUAGAGGCAAGCGGAAUUCCGGGUGUAGCGGUGGAAUGCGUAGAGAUCCGGAAGAACACCGGAGGCGAAGGCGGCUUGCUGGGCUUGGUCUGACGCUGAGGCGCGAAAGCGUGGGGAGCGAACAGG